rnacentral:rRNA from 1 species
UACGUAGGGGCUAGCGUUGUCCGGAAUCAUUGGGCGUAAGCGCGUGUAGGCGGUUCGGUAAGUCCGCUGUGAAAGUCGGGGGCUCAACCCUCGAAAGCCGGUGGAUACUGUCGGGCUAGAGUACGGAAGAGGCGAGUGGAAUUCCUGGUGUAGCGGUGAAAUGCGCAGAUAUCAGGAGGAACACCAAUUGCGAAGGCAGCUCGCUGGGACGUUACUGACGCUGAGAGCGCGAAGCGUGGGAGCAA